rnacentral:rRNA from 1 species
GACGAACGCUGGCGGCGUGCUUAACACAUGCAAGUCGAACGGAAAGGCCCUGCUUUUGUGGGGUGCUCGAGUGGCGAACGGGUGAGUAACACGUGAGUAACCUGCCCUUGACUUUGGGAUAACUUCAGGAAACUGGGGCUAAUACCGGAUAGGAGCUCCUGCUGCAUGGUGGGGGUUGGAAAGUUUCGGCGGUUGGGGAUGGACUCGCGGCUUAUCAGCUUGUUGGUGGGGUAGUGGCUUACCAAGGCUUUGACGGGUAGCCGGCCUGAGCGGGUGACCGGCCCCAUUGGGACUGAGAUACGGCCCAGACUCCUACGGGAGGCAGCAGUGGGGAAUAUUGCACAAUGGGCGGAAGCCUGAUGCAGCACCGCCGCGUGCGGGAUGACGGCCUUCGGGUUGUAAACCGCUUUCGCCUGUGACGAAGCGUGAGUGACGGUAAUGGGUAAAGAAGCACCGGCUAACUACGUG